rnacentral:rRNA from 1 species
UACGUAGGGUGCAAGCGUUAAUCGGAAUUACUGGGCGUAAAGCGUGCGCAGGCGGUUCUAUAAGACAGAUGUGAAAGCCCCGGGCUCAACCUGGGAAUUGCAUUUGAGACUGCGUAGCUAGGGUGCGGAAGAGGGAAGCGGAAUUUCCGGUGUAGCGGUGAAAUGCGUAGAUAUCGGAAGGAACACCAGUGGCGAAAGCGGCUUCCUGGUCCAGCACCGACGUUCAGGCACGAAAGCGUGGGGAGCAAACAGG